AGAGUUUGAUCCUGGCUCAGGAUGAACGCUGGCGGCGUGCUUAAAACAUGCAAGUCGAACGAGCACUUCGGUGCUAGUGGCAAACGGCUGAGUAACGCGUGGGUGACCUACCUGGAAGUGGGGAAUAACUGCCCGAAAGGGUGGCUAAUACCGCAUGUGAUGGCGAGUGUAGAGCUCGUUAUGAAAGUCUUCGGACGCUUCGAGAGGGGCCCGCGUUCGAUUAGCUAGUUGGCGGGGUAACGGCCCACCAAGGCAAAGACGGGUAUGGGGCGUGAGAGCGUGCCCCCACUCACUGGGACUGAGAUACUGCCCAGACACCUACGGGUGGCUGCAGUCGAGAAUCUUCGGCAAUGGGCGCAAGCCUGACCGAGCGACGCCGCGUGCGGGAUGAAGGCCUUCGGGUUGUAAACCGCUGUCGUAGGGGAGGAAGGUUCCGUGAAGAACGGAGCUUGACCGAUCCUAGGAGGAAGGGCCGGCUAAUCUCGUGCCAGCAGCCGCGGUAAUAC
rnacentral:rRNA from 1 species